rnacentral:rRNA from 1 species
UACGAGGGGGGCAAGCGUUGUUCGGAAUUAUUGGGCGUAAAGGGUGCGUAGGCGGUCUGACAAGUUCUGAUGAUCGAAAUCUAUGGGCUCAACCCAUAGUACUGCAUCGGAAACUGUCGGGGCUGGAGUAUUGGGAGAGGUGAGUGGAAUUUCCGGUGUAGCGGUGAAAAUGCGUAGAUAAUCGGAAGGAACACCUGUGGCGGAAAGCGGCUCACUGGACCAUUACUGACGCUGAUGGCAACGGAAAGCUAAGGGGAGCAAACAGG